UGGUUCUGGCAUCGAUGAAGAACGCAGCGAAAUGCGAUAAGUAAUGUGAAUUGCAGAAUUCAGUGAAUCAUCGAAUCUUUGAACGCACAUUGCGCCCAUUAGUAUUCUAGUGGGCAUGCCUGUUCGAGCGUCAUUUCAAACCCUUAAGCCCUGUUGCUUAGCGUUGGGAGCCUGCCGUAAAAGGCAGCUCCUCAAAGUCAUCGGCGGAGUUUCAGUAAUCUCUAAGCGUAGUAAUUCGUUCUCGCUUCUGAAGUGCUGUAGCCCCUGCCGUUAAACCCCCAAUUUUUCAGGUUUGACCUCGGAUCAGGUAGGGAAUACCCGCUGA
rnacentral:misc_RNA from 1 species